rnacentral:rRNA from 1 species
AAGUAGUAUUAUCAUAUUAAAUAAACUGAUUUACUUUGGCGGCAUUUCAUCUUAUUAAAGGAACUUGUUUAUUAAUCGAUAAUCCACGUUAAUUUUCACUUUUAUUAUAAAUUUAUAUACCGCCGUCUAAAGAAUAUUUUUUAAUCCUAAUUCAAAAUAAAACCUAAAAAGUUAGGUCAAGGUGUAAUCCAUAUUUAAGAUUAAAUGAGUUACUAUAAAUAAAUUUAUAAAUUAAUCAAUUAAAAUUUUUCAUGAAAUAGAAUUUAAGUGUAUAAUAAUAAUAAUAAUUUCGUUAGAUAAAGAUAAUAAAUGUGC